rnacentral:rRNA from 1 species
UACGGAGGGUGCAAGCGUUGUCCGGAAUCACUGGGCGUAAAGGGCGCGUAGGCGGCUCAUGAAGGCUGUGGUGAAAGUCCGGGGCUCAACCUCGGAUCGGCCGUGGCGACUCGUGGGCUGGAGCACUGUAGAGGCGGGUGGAAUUCCGGGUGUAGCGGUGGAAUGCGUAGAGAUCCGGAAGAACACCAGUGGCGAAGGCGGCCCGCUGGGCAGUGGCUGACGCUGAGACACGAAAGCAUGGGGAGCAAACAGG